rnacentral:rRNA from 1 species
UACGGGGGGAGCAAGCGUUGUUCGGAUUUACUGGGCGUAAAGGGCUCGUAGGCGGCCAACUAAGUCAGACGUGAAAUCCCUCGGCUUAACCGGGGAACUGCGUCUGAUACUGGAUGGCUUGAGUUCGGGAGAGGGAAGCGGAAUUCCGGGUGUAGCGGUGAAAUGCGUAGAUAUCCGGAGGAACACCGGUGGCGAAGGCGGCUUGCUGGACCGACACUGACGCUGAGGCGCGAAAGCUAGGGGAGCAAACGGG